AAAUUUUAAAUCAAAGAUAUUGAUCUUGUUUUAUAUAGUAUAAAGAAUUUUCUAUCAAAAUUUCACGUGAUUUGGAUAUUUCUACACCGUUAAACUUACAAACGGGCUCACUACGCGGCUAAUUAAAAUUAUUGAUUUUGAGUACCUUCGAUCACCAACAAAUGAUAUCGAAAAAUUAAAAAAUUUAUUUUCAGCCGUUGAUUUU
rnacentral:lncRNA from 1 species